rnacentral:rRNA from 1 species
UAUUGCUCUUGAACGAGGAAUCCCUAGUAAGCACAAGUCACCAGCUUGUGCUGAUUACGUCCCUGCCCUUUGUACACACCGCCCGUCGCUACUACCGAUUGAAUGGCUUAGUGAGGCCCUCGGAUCGACUUUCUGAGACUGGCAACAGUCCCUGAUUGUUGAGAAGUUGGUCAAACUUGGUCAUUUAGAGGAAGCAAAAGUCGUAACAAGGUUUCCGUAGGUGAACCUGCGGAAGGAUCAUUAAUGAUUUGGCGAACCUAACGUUAGUUAGGUUUUGCGAUCACUUAUUUAAAACCCAACUCUUAAAUGUAUAAUUUAUGUAUUUCUUGAUAAGAAAAAUAAAGAUCACUUUCAACAACGGAUCUCUUGGCUCUCGCAUCGAUGAAGAACGUAGCGAAGCGCGAUAAGUAAUGUGAAUUGCAGAAUUCCGUGAAUCAUCGAAUCUUUGAACGCAAAUUGCACUUUCUGGUAUUCCGGAAAGUAUGCCUGUUUGAGGGUCAGUUAAAUAAAAAUCGGUGUUAUUGCUAUUAUGGCGAUGCAUCGGAAUUGAGUCGUCUUUACCUUUGGUUUAAGUGACUUAAAAUUAUGUACGAUUUUUGAACGUAUUUAAAUUAUUUACUUAUGUUCAUAAUAUCACAUAUUAGGUGCGAUCAUCCACAUGAUUUCGCGCCUAUAAUUUUUCAUUAUUUGACCUCAAAUCAGGUAAGAAUACCCGCUGAACUUAAGCAUAUCAAUAAGCGGAGGAAAAGAAAAUAACAAUGAUUCCCUUAGUAACGGCGAGUGAAGGGGGAUAAGCUCAAAUUUUAAAUCUGCUAGGUUUUACUUAUCAGAGUUGUAAUUUGAAGAAGCGUUUUCCGCGUCUCGGUUGACCCAAAUCCUUUGGGAUAUGGUGUCAUGGAGGGUGAGAAUCCCGUCCGGUUGACUUUGUGACGCUUUACGAUACGUUUUCAAAGAGUCGAGUUGUUUGGGAUUGCAGCUCAAAAUGGGAGGUAAAUUUCUCCUAAGGCUAAAUAUUGGCGAGAGACCGAUAGCGAACAAGUACCGUGAGGGAAAGAUGAAAAGUACUUUGAAAAGAGAGUUAAACAGUAUGUGAAAUUGUUGAAAGGGAAACGAUUGAAGCCAGUCGUUCUGACGGAAAAUCAACUUUUCGGGUGCCUAUCGUGGGUGACGUUGAGCCUCACGGUCUUCGUUGCUUGUGUUUGUUGGUACCUUUGGAGUGCACUUUUUCGUAUGGUAGGUCAACAUCGAUUUUAAUCGUCAUAAAAUGAUCGGAGGAAUGUGGCUUCGAUUUCGAUUGGAGUGUUAUAGCCUUUGGUAGAUGUGACGAUUGGGAUCGAGGAUUGCAACGAAUACCCUUUGGGCUAUCCGUCUGGCCUCUGAAAGUCGCUUGGGUGCUGAAAGCUUUGCUUAUAGUAUUCAAGUUGGCGGUCAACAGGUUAGAACGUGAUUACAUUCGUUAAGGAUGUUGACGUAAUGGCUUUAAACGACCCGUCUUGAAACACGGACCAAGGAGUCUAACAUAUGUGCGAGUGUU